CCAACAUUACCCGGUUACGUGCGGCGUGCACAUGCACUUAAAAAAAUUAAGUUCCCAGUCCCAAACAAGUUCGAAACUUUAACUCGGGUACGCGUGCAUCUCGCAAGUAUUGCGAUUCGAUAGUGAAAAAUUUAAGUAAAGACACCCGCCAAAGCUUAGACCAAGCAGCUGAAGUGGAAAAAGAGUCGUCCCGGCUACGAGAGUGUGUUCCGGCCAGCAGGCCAGCACCAAGUUAUAUUAUUUUUUGGUUGGAUUGGCGGGAUUUCUGCCGGCAACGGCCCGGAAAAAAAGUAAUAAAACCCCCAAAACGUUUUUGGGGCACAAUCGUAAGGCUGUGCCCAGUUAGCAGUAUGUAAAGUCGACGUGACGAGGAGCAUGUAAACCAGAUAUCACUAACGAAAACCCACGUGCAUGUACCGAGGAGCACCCCCAUAGUCGCUUGCGUACAUAACCUGGUACCACCGAAAACCGGCGCCUGUACCGAGGAGCACCCCCAUGGCACGGCAUGUGUACCUAACCUGGCACCAACGAAUACGCAUGCGCAGCUAACCUUUUUGCACAUGAGCGCAUUUACGAGCAGCUACUUAUACACAUGGACGUGUAAUCUUUUGGCGCGCACACCUACACAUGCGGGAAAUCUCUAGGCCGCACAUACACAUCAGCAGCAGCCUUACCCCAAUGCACAUAGGCGCAAAUUUUAACGGGGUUUAACCCUCGGCAAUUUUUUGUAUUAUUUCUGGCAUCUUUAACCUGCAACCACAGUGAACCCUGGGAAAACAUCUUAGGAAAUUUUAAAAUAUAACGGAGCGAAUCUUAAUUAGUUUAUUAUGGAUACUACCUAAAUUUAAAUAACAAUUUUGCGCCUCUAAAGAAUCGGGAUAUAAUGGCAAGAAAGUUUCUUUUUAAAUCGUUUUCAAAAUAUCGAGUGUUCUUAAGUUUACUUUAACCCCAUGGUGCAAAACGCCAUAAUCUUUUUCCAGCACACCCGCGUCGGGAGAUCGAUCUCUCGUCGAUGGAAAAGUUGCCGUGAGUUUGAAAACUAAUUGUUUAUUUCCUAUAUCCACCUUUAUCUUUUGAAAACUAAACAGGACUUUUAUUUGAACGGCCAAAAAAAUUAAUACAUGAGUCCCGAAUCUAAUGAAGCAUUAACUUAACGAAAAAUAUUAUCUCACAAAUAUUAAGUACUUACAAAGAAAAAAAAA